rnacentral:rRNA from 1 species
CGUGAGCAAUCUGCCCUUGACUCUGGGAUAACUUCGGGAAACCGGAGCUAAUACCGGAUAUGACGCAUGGCCGCAUGGUCUGUGUGUGGAAAGAUUUAUUGGUCAGGGAUGAGCUCGCGGCCUAUCAGCUUGUUGGUGGGGUAAUGGCCUACCAAGGCGACGACGGGUAGCCGGCCUGAGAGGGCGACCGGCCACACUGGGACUGAGACACGGCCCAG